rnacentral:rRNA from 1 species
UACGUAGGGUCCGAGCGUUGUCCGGAAUUAUUGGGCGUAAAGGGCUCGUAGGCGGUUUGUCGCGUCGGGAGUGAAAACACGGGGCUUAACCCCGUGCCUGCUUCCGAUACGGGCAGACUAGAGGUAUGCAGGGGAGAACGGAAUUCCUGGUGUAGCGGUGAAAUGCGCAGAUAUCAGGAGGAACACCGGUGGCGAAGGCGGGUCUCUGGGCAACAACUGACGCUGAGGAACGAAAGCGUGGGGAGCGAACAGG